rnacentral:rRNA from 1 species
AUUGAACGCUGGCGGCAGGCCUAACACAUGCAAGUCGAGCGGUUGACGGGAGCUUGCUCCCUGAUUCAGCGGCGGACGGGUGAGUAAUGCCUAGGAAUCUGCCUAUUAGUGGGGGACAACGUUUCGAAAGGAACGCUAAUACCGCAUACGUCCUACGGGAGAAAGCAGGGGACCUUCCGGCCUUGCGCUAAUAGAUGAUCGUAGGUCGGAUUAGCUUGUUGGUGAGGUAAUGGCUCACCAAGGCGACGAUCCGUAACUGGUCUGAGAGGAUGAUCAGUCACACUGGAACUGAGACACGGUCCAGACUCCUACGGGAGGCAGCAGUGGGGAAUAUUGGACAAUGGGCGAAAGCCUGAUCCAGCCAUGCCGCGUGUGUGAAGAAGGUCUUCGGAUUGUAAAGCACUUUAAGUUGGGAGGAAGGGUUGUAGAUUAAUACUCUGCAAUUUUGACGUUACCGACAGAAUAAGCACCGGCUAACUCUGUGCCAGCCGCCGCCGUAA